rfam:Parcubacteria (Giovannonibacteria) bacterium GW2011_GWA2_44_26 TW55_C0014, whole genome shotgun sequence.
GGGCGUGUAGCUCAGCUGGUUAGAGUGUCUCGUUUACACCGAGAAGGCCCCCCGUUCGAAUCGGGGCACGCCCA